AACUGAUACUACCUGCGGGAACCUGCGGAAGGAUCAUUAUUGAAUAUGCUUGAUGGGUUGUAGCUGGCCUCUCGGGGCAUGUGCACGCCUGUCUUGACUUCAUUCAUCCACCUGUGCACCUAUUGUAGUUCUUUGCUUUGAAUCUUGUGGGGGGUCAGGAGAAGCGGCUGCUGUGUGCUAGCUGUGGAACCAAAGCCACCCGAGAGGAGAAGUCGGAGGGCUAUGUAUUUUUCAUAAACC
rnacentral:misc_RNA from 1 species